rnacentral:rRNA from 1 species
AGAGGAUCAUGGCUCAGAAUCAACGCUGGCGGCGUGCCUAACACAUGCAAGUCGAACGCGAAAGUGCCCGCAAGGGUGCGAGUAGAGUGGCGGACGGGUGAGUAACACGUGGGUGACCUGGCCUGGUGGAGGGGGAUAACUUCUCGAAAGGGAAGCUAAUACCGCAUAAGCUCUCGGUAGCGAUAUUGAGAGGAAGGCCGAAAGGCGCCACUGGAGGGGCCCGCGCUCGAUUAGCUAGUUGGUGAGGUAAGGGCUCACCAAGGCUGCGAUCGAUAGCCGGUCUGAGAGGACGGACGGCCACACUGGAACUGAGACACGGUCCAGACUCCUACGGGAGGCAGCAGUGGGGAAUUUUGCGCAAUGGGCGAAAGCCCUGACGCAGCAACGCCGCGUGGAGGAUGAAGGUUUUCGGAUCGUAAACUCCUGUCCCCAGGGAAGAAGAAAGUGACGGUACCUGGGGAGGAAGCCCCGGCUAACUCCGUGCCAGCCGCAGC